rnacentral:rRNA from 1 species
CUACGUGCCAGCAGCCGCGGUAAUACGGAAGGUUCGGGCGUUAUCCGGAUUUAUUGGGUUUAAAGGGAGCGUAGGCCGGAGAUUAAGUGUGUCGUGAAAUGUAGACGCUCAACGUCUGACUUGCAGCGCAUACUGGUUUCCUUGAGUACGCACAACGUUGGCGGAAUUCGUCGUGUAGCGGUGAAAUGCUUAGAUAUGACGAAGAACUCCGAUUGCGAAGGCAGCUGACGGGAGCGCCACUGACGCUUAAGCUCGAAGGUGCGGGUAUCGAACAGGAUUAGAUACCCUGGUAGUCCGCACAGUAAACGAUGGAUGCCCGCUGUUGGUACCUGGUAUCAGCGGCUAAGCGAAAGCAUUAAGCAUCCCACCUGGGGAGUACGCCGGCAACGGUGAAACUCAAAGGAAUUGACGGGGGCCCGCACAAGCGGAGGAACAUGUGGUUUAAUUCGAUGAUACGCGAGGAACCUUACCCGGGCUUGAA